CCUACGGGUGGCAGCAGUGGGGAAUAUUUGGCAAUGGGCGCAAGCCUGACCCAGCAACGCCGCGUGAAGGAAGAAGGCUUUCGGGUUGUAAACUUCUUUUGUCAGGGACGAAGCAAGUGACGGUACCUGACGAAUAAGCCACGGCUAACUACGUUCCAGCAGCCGCGGUAAUACGUAGGUGGCAAGCGUUAUCCGGAUUUACUGGGUGUAAAGGGCGUGUAGGCGGGACUGCAAGUCAGAUGUGAAAACCACGGGCUCAACCUGUGGCCGACAUUUGAUACUGGAGGUCUUGAGUACUGGAGAGGCAGACGGAAUUCCUAGUGUAGCAGUGAAAUGCGUAGAUAUUAGGAGGAACACCAGUGGCGAAGGCGGUCUGCUGGACAGCAACUGACGCUGAGGCGCGAAGGCGUGGGGAGCAAACGGGAUUAGAUACCCGAGUAGUC
rnacentral:rRNA from 1 species